rnacentral:rRNA from 2 species
UGGGGAAUAUUGCACAAUGGAGGGAACUCUGAUGCAGCGACGCCGCGUGAACGAAUAAGGCUUUCGAGUCGUAAAGUUCUUUUAUAUGGGAAGAUAAUGACGGUACCAUAAGAAAAAGCCCCGGCUAACUACGUGCCAGCAGCCGCGGUAAUACGUAGGGGGCUAGCGUUGUCCGGAAUCACUGGGCGUAAAGGGUUCGCAGGCGGAAAUGCAAGUCAGGUGUAAAAGGCAGUAGCUUAACUACUGUAAGCAUUUGAAACUGCAUAUCUUGAGAAGAGUAGAGGUAAGUGGAAUUUUUAGUGUAGCGGUGAAAUGCGUAGAUAUUAAAAAGAAUACCGGUGGCGAAGGCGACUUACUGGGCUCAUUCUGACGCUGAGGAACGAAAGCGUGGGUAGCAAACAGG